GAUGAACGCUGGCGGCGUGCCUAAUACAUGCAAGUCGAGCGAACGGACGAGAAGCUUGCUUCUCUGAUGUUAGCGGCGGACGGGUGAGUAACACGUGGAUAACCUACCUAUAAGACUGGGAUAACUUCGGGAAACCGGAGCUAAUACCGGAUGAUAUUUUGAACCGCAUGGUUCAAAAGUGAAAGACGGUCUUGCUGUCACUUAUAGAUGGAUCCGCGCUGCAUUAGCUAGUUGGUAAGGUAACGGCUUACCAAGGCAACGAUGCAUAGCCGACCUGAGAGGGUGAUCGGCCACACUGGAACUGAGACACGGUCCAGACUCCUACGGGAGGCAGCAGUAGGGAAUCUUCCGCAAAGGGCGAAAGCCUGACGGAGCAACGCCGCGUGAGUGAUGAAGGUCUUCGGAUCGUAAAACUCUGUUAUUAGGGAAGAACAUAUGUGUAAGUAACUGUGCACAUCUUGACGGUACCUAAUGAGAAAGCCACGGCUAACUACGUG
rnacentral:rRNA from 1 species